rfam:Geobacteraceae bacterium GWC2_58_44 gwc2_scaffold_397, whole genome shotgun sequence.
GUCCGAGAACCGUGAGGAAACCGUCUCCCCUUGCGGAUCCGGCUAAUUAAAAACCAGAAGGAG